CAGUAGCCGCGGUAACACGGAGGGUGCAAGCGUUAAUCGGAAUUACUGGGCGUAAAGCGUGCGUAGGCGGUUCGUUAAGUCUGUUGUGAAAGCCCCGGGCUCAACCUGGGAAUGGCAAUGGAUACUGGCGAGCUAGAGUGUGUCAGAGGAUGGUGGAAUUCCCGGUGUAGCGGUGAAAUGCGUAGAGAUCGGGAGGAACAUCAGUGGCGAAGGCGGCCAUCUGGGACAACACUGACGCUGAGGCACGAAAGCGUGGGGAGCAAACAGGAUUAGAUACCCCCGUAGUCCCUGUCUCUUAUAC
rnacentral:rRNA from 1 species